UACGUAGGGUGCGAGCGUUAAUCGGAAUUACUGGGCGUAAAGUGUGCGCAGGUGGCCGCGCAAGUCGAGUGUGAAAUCCCCGAGCUUAACUUGGGAAUUGCGCUCGAAACUACGUGGCUCGAGUGUGGCAGAGGAAGGUGGAAUUCCACGUGUAGCGGUGAAAUGCGUAGAGAUGUGGAGGAACACCGGUGGCGAAGGCGGCAUCCUGGACCGGUAUUGACGCUGAGGCGCGAAAGCCAGGGGAGCAAACGGG
rnacentral:rRNA from 1 species